GUUUUUUGGCUGCCUGUUUUCUAUCAUCCAAUUGCGCUGGACCUGGAAUAGGGACAUAUGCGUGAAAGGAGCUGCUGUGACCGAACAGCGCUGGAUGAGCAAGGUGAAGUGAUUGAGUGAGAGUCUCUGUGUAGUGUGUGUGCACCCCCUCCUCUUCUGAGAUACAGCAGACUGGCAUGAUUUGCUGGUGUUGUGGCCCUGGCUGUUGGCCGCAGGUUGGACUCUCUCUCAUCCUCAAGAUUUUCCUUGUUGGCAUGCUCUCCACCUCUGCGGCUUCUUCCAGUUAGCUGUUGUCACCUAAGGAAGCUGCUCUGCUCCAGUCUGGCUGCAAAUGGACCAGUGCUGUAGUAUCACCAUCCAUCUCCUCUACUCUCUACCUCUCCUUGCUUCCAUUCUUCUUGUCCAUUGUUCAGUUUCGUUUCUCACAAACAGCCUUCCAGUCGACCUGAUCGCUGGAAGAGAACUGUGAUCAGCUACAUCCUCAUCCUCAGUUGAGCCAGGGCUUGAGGAAACAAGCGGUCAGCUAUUUUUCUUAACCGCCAAGUUACAUAACAAUUCAUCAAAGCUGGGAUUAAAAUUUUGUGAAGGAGCAGCUUUGACUGCUGGAAGACUUAAGCGUAUUAGCUUUAAAAACCAAGAUGGGAGUUUCAAGUGAUGUAUGGCAGACUUCAAAGAUGUUUUAAUCUGUCAGUAGGCAUGCUCUUGUACAGGCUAUUUAUAUUAAGACACAGAGUCUCUUUUACCUGCACAUCGUAAUCAGUGGUUUCUCUGGUUAAACUGAGCCUGAUACUGUUAACCAGUUAUUAAACAGCUGCACUUCCUCUGUAUUUUUACAAGUUUUCUUACUGGUCUUCAGUGGUACAGCAUGUACUGAUUAUAAAGUGUUUAUAUCCUUUGUCACAUAAUUUGAUGGUUCAA